CCCACUGUCAAUUCUCAGAAUUACUCACUGAGCCAAUGGAGAUCUUUUCAGAAAAUCCUUGUCUGUGCCUGUAUCUUGAAAGGCUUUGGUUUUGUUUUCUUCUAGCAGUUUCAAAGUUUUAGGUCUCAUAUGGAGGUCUCAUAUGGAUAGUCUGAAGUGGUUUUUGUGCAAGUUGAUCUCCUUUGUAAGAUUCCGGAGGGCUAGGAAGAUGUCCCAGUGGGUGAGAUAUUGGAUGUGGAAGCAAAUUCGAAGAUGUCGGCUUAGAUCCCAGCACUCACGGAGAAAGCCACGUGUGGAGGACGCUCGGUAUUGCAGUUAAACCAGAUCAGCGUUUGUUCUCAGGUUCAUUUGCCGUAGUAAGGCCAACCUCGCAACAGUUAAACCUAAUUAAGGCACCUGCUGAACAUCACACAAAUUUGGAAGAGACAAAGCAAUUGCUUGACAGAGUUUCUGUAGUUGUUUGAGAAGCCACACCUCGGAGUAAUCCACAGAAAAGAGAAGGAUGGGGAACCUAGUUUCUUCCUGUCAUCUUUUCCUCCAUCAAGGUUCUUCUCAAGAUUGCAGAUUCUAUCAUCUUCUACUACAAUAUUAUGGACUCCCAGAACUACAAAGUCUAUUGAUCUCCAAAUCUCAGAGGACCUGAUAUGAAUACCUUGGAAGACCAACCACACUGCUCGAGGCUAAGACACUGACAUCUGUCUGAUAAAUGAAUGCCUUCUCUUCUAUACAACUUAGUUCUUCAGUAUCCUUUUUAUCUCAUACAUGUGUCUACUGUACGCUGAGCAUACUCCUCCCACAGCUUCCUUCAUUCCACUCAGACCCUCUCACUUCUGCUUUUGUGUUUUAUAGCCUUACAGGGUCUCUUUCAUCCACAUUUGGUAUUUGUUUUCUUAAC
ensembl:lncRNA